GACGAACGCUGGCGGCGUGCUUAACACAUGCAAGUCGAACGGAAAGGCCCUGCUUGCAGGGUACUCGAGUGGCGAACGGGUGAGUAACACGUGGGUGAUCUGCCCUGCACUUCGGGAUAAGCCUGGGAAACUGGGUCUAAUACCGGAUAGGAGCCAUUUUUAGUGUGAUGGUUGGAAAGUUUUUUCGGUGUAGGAUGAGCUCGCGGCCUAUCAGCUUGUUGGUGGGGUAAUGGCCUACCAAGGCGGCGACGGGUAGCCGGCCUGGGGGGGUGGACGGCCACAUUGGGACUGGGAUACGGCCCAGACUCCUACGGGGGGCAGCAGGGGGGAAUAUUGCCCAAUGGGCGCAAGCCUGAUGCAGCGACGCCGCGGGGGGGAUGACGGCCUUCGGGUUGUAAACUCCUUUCGCUAGGGACGAAGCUUUUUGUGACGGUACCUAGAUAAGAAGCACCGGCUAACUACGUG
rnacentral:rRNA from 1 species